rnacentral:rRNA from 1 species
AUUGAACGCUGGCGGCAUGCUUUACACAUGCAAGUCGAACGGCAGCGCGGGCUUCGGCCUGGCGGCGAGUGGCGAACGGGUGAGUAAUGCAUCGGAACGUGCCCAGUAGUGGGGGAUAGCCCGGCGAAAGCCGGCUUAAUACCGCAUACGACCUGAGGGUGAAAGCGGGGGACCGAAAGGCCUCGCGCUCUUGGAGCGGCCGAUGUCGGAUUAGCUAGUUGGUGGGGUAAAGGCUUACCAAGGCGACGAUCCGUAGCUGGUCUGAGAGGACGACCAGCCACACUGGGACUGAGACACGGCCCAGACUCCUACGGGAGGCAGCAGUGGGGAAUUUUGGACAAUGGGGGCAACCCUGAUCCAGCCAUGCCGCGUGCGGGAAGAAGGCCUUCGGGUUGUAAACCGCUUUUGUUCGGGAAGAAAUCCUCUGGGCUAAUACCCCGGGGGGAUGACGGUACCGGAAGAAUAAGCACCGGCUAACUACGUG